rnacentral:pre_miRNA from 15 species
UUCUUCAGAGACUUCCCACUGUUGACCCUGGAAAUCCAGAAGGGGUGGAGCCUGUUGGACAGUUUCUAGGCGACCCAUUCUUGGUUUCAAGGGUUGCCAUGGAAACCACCAAGAAGCAUG